rnacentral:lncRNA from 1 species
CUGUGCAGUGGCAUGACCAUAGUUCACUGCAACCUCAAACUCCUGAGCUUCAGCGAUCCUCCCACCUCAGCCUCCCAAGUAGUCCCAUAGUCCCAGCCCCUGAGCUGGGACUACAGGGGAGAAGUCUCGGCGGGAGAUUAAGUCUUGAGAUUCAUCAGACCAGAGAUGGUCUGUGAAGCCGCAGAUCAGGAUGACAGCCACUAUGGGAAUGAACAAAGAUGAAGACCGGAGACCCCAAGACAGACCUCCGGGGCAGCCAUCACUGAGAGAGGGCGGAGGAGGAGGGGGAAGUGAAGGCUCCUGAGGAGAAGGCCAUGUGGAGGAGGGAAACCAGGGGAAGGUGGAGUCGGAGACAUUGGAAGAACAGGAUGGGCACACCAACGCCUGGAGAUGUUGGAUGCAGAAGGCGAAAUGUCAGAAGCUGGAGUCCUGCAUCUCAGCUGGAAGGUGAGGGGCUGAUAAUUUAUCAGUUGCCAUUGAUCAAAGUUCACAAGGCAAAUCUUCAUAAACUUCUAAAGCUGCCUACAGUUUCCCGUAAACAAAUCUCUAAAUUUACAAAAGCAAUGCUUGCUGAUUGUAAAAAACACACAGUGCCAAAGCAUACAAAGGAAGAAGACCCGCUUGCAAUUUGCUACCUACAUCCCACUCUUGGGGCCAACAACUAUUGGAAGUGUGGUGAGUGAUUGACUUACAUCCUUCUAGAUCUUAUCUACAUAUUUGCAAAGAAAAAAUAUACAUAUAUAAAAUAAAAU